GUUUUCUCUCCCUGUUAUCCUGCUCCAGCCACCUGACACCACACCUACACCAGCGCAACACCGGCGACGGCCGCCAACAGCACCUGGGCAGCGCAACACCGGCGACGGCCGCCAACAGCACCUGGGAGUUGUCCAAGAGAACGCCUCCUCCUUGUUCUUUACCCCCACGGCUGGAAAAUCUGCAACAGCAAGAGGUCGGGGAGCUGCGCAGCCGAGGGGGCAGGGGGUGCUUUGCAUCGAGUCAUGGCGGCCGGUGAUGCGACAGGAGGCCACCUCCCUGUCCAUGGAUUUUUCUUGAUGGACGAGAUGCUGGAACCUGCUUUGACCGGAGCUGCAAGCGGCGCCAAUUUUUGGUACAACUAGUGUGCUGUUUUGCUGGAAUCAAAACCUUUUUUUGUACGAUCCGCAAUUGGGGUGCUUUUUUUGCUGGAACCAGUCUAAAUUUUUGCUACCACUAUCUCUUUUUUUUGCUACUACCGUCCUUCUGAUUUUUGCACCGCCCGCCCUUGAAAUUUUUGCUGGAACCACUACAAAUGUUUGCUACAACCGUCUUCACUGUUGCUACCGUUCCGUCUUUGCUUUUUUUUUGCUUCAAUCCAUCUUGCUGGAACCACUCAAAAAAUUUGUUUCCAAUGUCUUUGAUUUUUGCUACCACCCAUGUCUUUUGAUUUUUAGCUGGAUCCAUAUUUUUGCUGGAACUAGUGAAUUAUUUUUUUGGAACCAUCAAAUUAUUUUGCUGGAACUAACCAUGGCAUUUGUCGCGACGGUGGAGAGGCCUGCGCUGUCGCCGCCUUUUUUCUGGAAGGGGCAGCACAAAAGGUUUCAAUGGCAAGCAGAAUUGCUGGAAUCAACAUCUAUUAGAAGCUGGAAUAUGUGAUUUUGUUUGCUAUGUCUAAGGUAGUGGUACCUGUCGGCGCUCAUUUUUUUUGCUACAUCGGGGAUUUUGAAAAGGUACAAACGCCUAUCUGUUUGCUACAAAGGCGACAUAUAGAAUUCGGUUAUCCAGAGGAGAAGACAGCAGCGGUGCCUGUAGCGUCCACCCUGCGGCGAGCUCGACAACGAGGAUGGAGGGGGGCGGCGCACCAGAUGCUGCAAUCGCGGGGGCGGGGAGCUUCAACUGCCUCUGACGGAGGCUCCUGGUCAGCCAUGGCCAAGUUUGGCGGGGGAUCCGACCAUGACGGAAGCUGCGAACGAUUGAGAUGGUUGGGAGGGGCAGCUACGUGCGGCGGGCAGCCCCAAGCUGGGGCAGCGACGCUGUCUGCUAUAGCAGCGCGAGGGAUCCGGCUUUCUCAGGGGCGGUGCUCCGGCUGCAACGCUCGCAUGCGGAAUCGGUGUCCGUCAGAGAAGAAAGGGGAUGAGAUCAAACGGUUCGUAGGCUCAAAUCUGAGGGUUGUCGCUUGACCGGCCGAACUAUUGGGCCGGCGCACCGGCGCCCAGUGCUCGCCUUUUUAAAAACUUUGAUAAUAAUAGGAAACUUCUUCGCUCCAUCCGGAUGUAAAUAACGUUGCGCGCAGCCGCCUGCUUCUUACGCCACUUGUCUCAUGGGCCAGUGCAAACCAUCCUUAUCCUUAUCUUCUUUCUCCCAUCCUUUCCUUUCUCGAGCUCUCUUCACCGCUGAUUAUAUCUCUCGCUGGCGAGGGGUUUCCCCAAGCUUUGCAGCACGCUAUCAUGGAUCCGCCUCUUGCAAGCUCUGCUACGCAACUAGUACCACCUUCCCCCCAAGUGAACCCGAGAAGAGAGCUCCGCCGCUGUGAGACGGGGCGCCCGCUGCUGUGACGGCGGACGAGGUGCUUCGACGCUCGACGACAAUGAUGCUGCGAAAGUCUGCGGCGGGGAUUGCUCCGAGUCCAUCGGAGUUGCUACAACACUGGCGUUGCUGCGAGCCGCUGCUGUGAUUUGGCGCCGGCCGGCAAUGCUUGUAGGGGUCACCGAUCCGCAAGAGGUGCCCGUCGUCACGGGGGGCUACCGGUUAUGCUGCAACC
rnacentral:rRNA from 1 species